rnacentral:tRNA from 1 species
GUCUAAAUAGUUUAAAAAAAAUAAAGAAUUGUGGUUUCUUAGUUGAGAGUUUUUUAGACA